CAGCCCAGAGGCUGUGGUUCAUAUGACACAGGAGGACAUGGGCCGAAUUGGAAUCUCUUCAGCUGCACACCAGAAUAAGAUCCUGACCAGCGUCCAGGGAAUGCUCUCCCAAAUGCAACAGAUACAAGGCAGAAUGGUUCCGGUCUGAUCCACAAGAAGGAAACGACUUCAUUUCUUAKGAUAAUAAAAAUAAAAUAUCAAAAGACAAAUGAACGAUAAAAUUGUUUACCUCAUCCAUGCACUUUAAAUUGGAUUUAAAAGAAGAAGAAAAGAAGAAGAAAAGUGGGAAAAAAUUGCACUUUUUGUCAGACGUUAGACCUUGCCCUAUUGAGAACGGGAUAUUUUCCUGUCRGAGCGGCGCUGGGAAUGGGACGGACGGAAAGCUUUUCCGAGAGGCCAACUGGAGUGCCUUCAACGGUCUGGAAGGAAUUCAGAGGGGAUCGCUCCUCUGGGCAAAAGUAAUGUUUCUGGAACGUUCUUUCUGGAAUACCUACAGAGCAGUAAUUGUGUUAAGUUGUGUAUGUAUGAAUUGUUCUCUGUGACUCGCUGCCAUACCCUCRAUUGUCUUUCUCAGCUGGAUCCGUCCUAACAACAACAGACAAAAUGGAGGAUUCCAACCUCGAGAUAAACACUGAUGUUCUGAAUCUGAGAGGUUGAGGGAGGGAUUCAAGAGGGAGGGGAAGUGGGAUCUGUGUUUUUGCUCUGUUCUGGUCUUGUUUUUUCCCAGAUUGGGCUGUUUUGUUGCCCUCAGGACAUUGAGCAUUUUCUCAGAAUGUCUUUGAUCUAAAGAGGUGCAUUGCUACCCCUUGUCCUCCCAAAUCAACAUCUCACCCCUCCUAAAACAUUUUAUUUGGAUCAUCUUUCAUCAGCCCCUCUGGYUUACAGCCCGCCCCCCUGGGUCUGAUUAUUGCUUUUUGUUCUUUGACAGACAGCUGUUUGGACCAGUUGGAUUCUUACUGUGUAUUUGUUUCCUGAACGUAAAAAUGAGAGCAAAGGAGUAUGGGAUUUAUUUGAGCACAACUGUGCACAACUGKGGAGAGAUGGAUAUGUAACAAAAAACAAUGACAACGACAUCAAAAUAAACAAGAGAAUACAUGCUGGACAUUAUUCAAUCAUCAAUCACCAUGCUGCCCCCGUCUAUCAUCAACAGGAUCCCCCCUCUCUCCCCAU